GGAGAGCCCAGCGGGCUGCCGGCGGAGCGACAGCUCUCCUCCGGGUGGAUCUCGGGGUAAUCCGUCGUGUAGAGCGCCGAGAUGGGCUCCAUGGAUUCCAUCCUCUCCAUCCUGUCUUUCCGAGUCUUCAGCCGAUGAAGAGACGACCAACAAUAUCAAUGAUCGUCACGAGGGGCUACACACUCGCCUCUAUAACUCCGUGACUCACUUGAUACGACACCACUUUAAUUGCAGUGUGUGUGAUCGCCGACGUCACAACGACAUCAGCACCGCGGACAGCGCUCGUGAGGAGAGGAUGAGGAGGAUGACGAAUAUGAAGCGGGGUGGGGGCUUGCUGGAUUGGGGGAGGGUCGUUCACUUUAGCUACGCUGUAGGUUAACACAGUGACAUAGGCGCUCCGUUUAGUGUGGCUUUCCAGCAAUGUUGAAGCAAUCCAUGAAUGGAACUGUCUCUGACGUAGAACCAUUUGGAGGCACGUACACACAUUCGCACGCACGCGAGCACACACACGCACACAAACACACACGCACGCACACACACGUACAUACAUGCGCACACACGCAAGCGCACACACACGCGCGCAGACACGCACACACACACACACACACACACACACACACACACACACACACACACACACACACACACACACACACACACACACACACACACACACACACACACACACA